rnacentral:rRNA from 1 species
UAAAAGGUCCAGCCUGCCCAGUGACUCUGUUCAACGGCCGCGGUAUCCUAACCGUGCGAAGGUAGCGUAAUCACUUGUUCUUUAAAUGAGGACUAGUAUGAAUGGCACCACGAAGGUUACACUGUCUCCUAUUUCUAAUCAGUAAAACUAAUCUUCCCGUGAAGAAGCGGGGAUUUUUAUAUAAGACGAGAAGACCCUAUGGAGCUUUAAACGAAAUAACAAUUACCAACUCAACUAACAAUUUCAGAAAAUCUAUAUUAACUUUGGUAUGAUGAUUACCAGUUUUAGGUUGGGGUGACCGCGGAGCAAAAAACAACCCCCGCAUUGAACGGACUAAUACUCCUAAGCAAAAAACCACAACUUUAUGCAUCAACACAUUGACAUCCAUUGACCCAUUAACUUGAUCAACGAACCAAGUUACCCUAGGGAUAACAGCGCAAUCCAUUUCAAGAGCUCCUAUCGACAAAUGGGUUUACGACCUCGAUGUUGGAUCAGGGUAUCCCGGUGGUGCAGCCGCUACCAAAGGUUCGUUUGUUCAACGAUUAAAA